rnacentral:misc_RNA from 1 species
GUAACCUCACGCGCCAUUCCCGGCGACUUCAACUUUUCUUAUGUCAUCAUCUCCGUACACUCUCCUACUCAUGCGGCUCACGCGCUUUUCCAAUCGCCAACCGGCGAUUAUCCUUUAUACCCUUCCCUCUUUCUUCCAUCAUUCUCCGAUCAAUUCUCUUCUUCAUUCUUUCCAUCAAUGGGUGAGAUUACCGAAUCCUCCACACAGGUAACCAUGUCAUCAAGGCCAUUACCCUUCCGUGAGGAUUGUUGGAGCGAACAAGCUACAUGGACCCUUGUUGAUGCUUGGGGACGUCGUUAUAUGGAAUUGAACCGUGGAAAUCUCCGUCAGAAGGAUUGGCAACGGGUCUCCGAUUCCGUUAAUGCCCUUCAUGGACAUUCGAGGAAGACUCACCGAACCGAUGUUCAAUGUAAGAAUCGGAUUGAUACCUUGAAGAAGAAGUACAAAGUUGAGAAGGCGAAAAUUAUUGAGUCUAACGGAACCCUAACGUCAUCCUGGCCCUUCUUCGAACGGCUUGAUAUGUUGAUCGAAAACUCCGAUAAGAAAGUUACGCCGGUGAUGGUGUCUCUGUUACCUUUACCGAUGUCCUCACCGCCUAUGGGAGUGCCGUUGCCUUACCGGAGAUCGGCGGUGGUGACACCGGUUAGUUUACCUCAGAAGCGGCAGUUGCCGGCUUUUGAUGAAUCCUGUUUCAGGAGAAAUUAUUCGGCUGUAGCUGCUGCUGCGGCAGCAGGAGGAGGGGAAGAGGAUUAUGAUGACGAGGAGGAGGAUGUGGAGAUGACUGAAGAGAGUUGGGAAGAGGAUGGGAUGAGGAGGCUGGCGAAGGCUAUAGAGAGUUUUGGAGAGAUAUAUGAGAGAGUUGAAGGGAUGAAACAGAGACAAAUGGUGGAGCUGGAGAAGCAGAGGAUGCAGUUUGCUAAAGAUUUGGAGGUUCAAAGGAUGCAGUUGUUUAUGGAUACACAAGUUCAGCUUGAAAAGAUUAAGCAUACUAAGCUGUCUGGCUCUAAUGAUCUGUAUAGCUAGCUCUGUGGUGAAAGAGCAAUUAAAAAGAACCAGGAUUGCGAGAUUAUGGACGAGUAUCAUGGAGCAAUCCAGUCGGUGUCUCCUUAGUUUAUCUCCAAAUUCAUAUCUAAUGAUGACCCUAGUUUAACUGAUUAUUACUUUUUUUUAGCAGGAAUAGUUGGUACUUGUAGUUAACUUUUCCUUUUAUUUUAGCGGAUCUAAA